GGGGAAUCUUGCGGGAGCUCGGGACGGCCGGGCUGAGAGGGCGGAGAUGCCGCCGACCGCCGAACCUGAUCCGGGUAAUGCCGGCGCAGGGAAGCCUCCCGAUCCUCCG
rnacentral:ncRNA from 2 species